rnacentral:rRNA from 1 species
AACGAACGCUGGCGGCAUGCCUAACACAUGCAAGUCGAACGAUACCUUCGGGUCUAGUGGCGCACGGGUGCGUAACGCGUGGGAACCUGCCCUUAGGUUCGGAAUAACUCCCCGAAAGGGGUGCUAAUACCGGAUAAUGUCUUCGGACCAAAGAUUUAUCGCCUUUGGAUGGGCCCGCGUUGGAUUAGCUAGUUGGUAGGGUAAAAGCCUACCAAGGCGACGAUCCAUAGCUGGUCUGAGAGGAUGAUCAGCCACACUGGGACUGAGACACGGCCCAGACUCGUACGAGAGGCAGCAGUGGGGAAUAUAGGACAAGGGGCGAAAGCCUGAGCCAGCAAUGCCGGGUGAGUGAUGAAGGCCUUAGGGUUGUAAAGCUCUUUUACACGGGAUGAUAAUGACAGUACCGGGAGAAUAAGCUCCGGCUAACUCCGUG